rnacentral:lncRNA from 1 species
CAGUGUGUUAAAGUUAUUCUGAUAUUGACUGUAGUUCUGAGCUUUGUCUCUAUCCCACCAAACCACUAACUUCUGGAAAUUACUUGUAGACCAAGAUGGGAGGACUCCGUGUGUGGCUCCGCUCUCUUCAUGUGACAAAGAAACUUCCUAAAAUACUAAAAGCUAAAGGAGAUUGUUAUCUAAGCUUGAGAUGGAAGGUUGCCAGCGGAAACUUGGAGGGAUCACAGCCAGUCGCCUGGGAUUGACCACAGGGAGUGGCAGAGGCAGAAAGCAAAAGACCAGUUGCAAUUAUCCAGGUAAAAGAUGGAGGCUGUUGCAAUAAUCCAGGAAUCCUGAAUUGAGCCUGUGUUCCCAGUUCCUAGAAACCCUCAAGGUUAUUGGUUUCCUCCUCGCUUAAUAGACCAGUGGAAGAAAUCUACCUCCAGUUCUAUCUUCACAUGAGCAACUGUUUACAGUUUACAAUAUUACUCUGAAAAUCAGUUCUUUUCAAGUUUUAUCUAACACCCACCAGAAGAAACAGAAGAUUAUGAAAAUGGAAUUUGUCAAAGUUCCUCUCCCAACAAUAUGAUAUUUAAUUUUGCUAACAUUUUUUUUUGAACACUUACUAUAUUGCAGACAAUGGUCUAAGUAAAGCAUUUUAUGUGCAUCCUAUCAUGUCAUCAUCACACAGCCCUGUGAGGUAGAUACUAUUAUUAUUAACCACAUUUCACAUUCAAAAAAACUGAGGCUUAGAGAGACUAAGUAAAUUGUCCAAGGUCACACAGCCAUGAAGUGGCAGAGCUGUGGUUAAAACCUAUGUCUGUCUGAUGUUUAAGAUUUUGCUGUUAGCAUUACUUUGAAAUGACAAUAUGAGGGCAUUUUAUGUAUUUUUUUUGCCCCAAUAUGAUCUGCAGAAACUAUGUAUUUUAAGUACUACAUUUCUUUUAUUUACCAAAUUAUUGUCAGAUAAGAAACCGAAAUAAAAGUUUACAGGGUCUAGGAUUCCUCCAUAAUGAAUGAACUUUGGGGUAUUUCAGUGACAAAUUGGCUUUAACGCGAUCAAAUUCCAUCCUACAAUGAAAGUGUGUUAGUUUGUGGUUUCAAGUUUAAAAACAGCACUGUAUUGUCUUCCAGAAAUAUAUAAAUAGAAAUUCAAGAAGUAUUUCAAUGAAUACAGAUAAAAUUAGUUUUGUUAGAACAUCAAAUAUGUGGGUUUCAUUUCUUAGCUCAGUUUAGAAACUGUAAUUUCAAUUUUUUUUAGCAGCUGUGGUAAAUUUUGAGAUUUGAAAUUUCAUAUAAUAUAAAUCCUCAUUUAUUGAGCAUUUAAAUUAUAUGCCCAACAAUUUACUGUGUACAUUACUUCACUUGUUCUUAACUAUAACUCUACAAAAUAUUAUUGUCCUUGAUUUAUAGAUGAAGAUAUUGAGACUCAGUUAAGUAACUUGCUUGAAAUUCAAAAACGUUAACUGUGGAAGGCAGUAUUUGAACCCAGUGUUCAAAACCCCAUGCUCUUUUUAUUAUAUGACCUUAUUUCCUAUUCAGUCUUCAGAAGAUAUAUUGUCUUAUUAGAUUAUUCUCGUUCUCUAAAUAAGUGACCUUGGGCAACUAUCUUUUUCCCUGGUAUUUUCCCCUGCCUUUAAAACAAUGUGAUCAAACUGGAAGUUUUUCACGAUCUCUCUUAGCCCUAAAGCUCCUUGGUUCUGUAAUUCCACCAAUAGCCCAUUUCAAAAAUAAUUCUACAGUAAUCAGUGGGACUCCUGUUUUUCCCAUCUUUUUUUUUUUUGAAACAGAAAAUUGAAACUUUUAAAUUAGUUUAGUAAAUACAUCUACUAGUUUUUUUCUUUUAUAGUCAUGGUUAUAUUAUUUGGUCCUUCUUAGUUGCAACAUGUUUCCUUGCUGUCAAUUUAUAAUACCUCUCAUCAACAAUAGCCUGAAGAAAUAGAUUUGAAUUGCUUUCCCUAAUUUAUAGCUGGAAAACUAGGCUACGCUGGUAUCUUAAAUUGACUUUCCUGAGGUCACGGGCACUCAGUGCCAAGAGGAGUUGGUACCUACGCAUUUGAAAUUUCUGGAUUUCUGGUCUUACUCUGUACUUAGUCACUCUUUUCUUUCAUUUGGCCCUAUGGUGGGCAAACUACAGCCUACAGGCCAAUUCCAGCCUACCAUCUGUUUUUGUAUGGUCCAUGAACUAAGAAUGGUUAUCACAUUUUAAAAUGGUGGGAAAAAAAGACUAUUUUGUGACAUAAAAAUUAUAUGAAAU